rnacentral:rRNA from 1 species
AUUGAACGCUGGCGGAAUGCUUUACACAUGCAAGUCGAACGGUAGAGGGGGCAACCCCUCGAGAGUGGCGAACGGGUGAGUAAUAUAUCGGAACGUGCCCAGUCGUGGGGGAUAACGUAGCAAAAGUUACGCUAAUACCGCAUACGAUCUAAGGAUGAAAGCGGGGGAUCGCAAGACCUCGCGCGAUUGGAGCGGCCGAUAUCAGAUUAGGUAGUUGGUGGGGUAAAGGCUCACCAAGCCAACGAUCUGUAGCUGGUCUGAGAGGACGACCAGCCACACUGGAACUGAGACACGGUCCAGACUCCUACGGGAGGCAGCAGUGGGGAAUUUUGGACAAUGGACGCAAGUCUGAUCCAGCCAUUCCGCGUGCAGGAUGAAGGCCCUCGGGUUGUAAACUGCUUUUGUGCGGAACGAAAAGGUCUCUCUUAAUACGGGGGGCUCAUGACGGUACCGUAAGAAUAAGCACCGGCUAACUACGUGCCAGCAGCCGCCGUAA